UACAGAGGGGGCAAGCGUUAUUCGGAAUUAUUGGGCGUAAAGGGCGCGUAGGCGGCGAUUCAAGUGACGGGUGAAAUCCCUCGGCUUAACCGAGGAACUGCCUGUCAAACUGCAUGGCUUGAGACCAGGAGAGGUGAGUGGAAUUCCCAGUGUAGCGGUGAAAUGCGUAGAUAUUGGGAGGAACACCAGUGGCGAAGGCGGCUCACUGGACUGGUACUGACGCUGAUGCGCGAAAGCGUGGGGAGCAAACAGG
rnacentral:rRNA from 1 species